rnacentral:rRNA from 1 species
GGGGAAUAUUGCACAAUGGGCGAAAGCCUGAUGCAGCAACGCCGCGUGAGUGAAGAAGGUUUUCGGAUUGUAAAGCUCUGUCAUCUGGGACGAUAAUGACGGUACCUGAGGAGGAAGCCACGGCUAACUACGUGCCAGCAGUCGCGGUAAUACGUAGGUGGCAAGCGUUGUCCGGAUUUACUGGGCGUAAAGGAUGUGUAGGCGGAUAUUUAAGUGAGAUGUGAAAUCCCCGGGCUUAACUUGGGCAGUGCAUUUCAAACUGGAUGUCUGGAGUGCAGGAGAGGAGAACGGAAUUCCUAGUGUAGCGGUGAAAUGCGUAGAGAUUAGGAAGAACACCAGUGGCGAAGGCGGUUCUCUGGACUGUAACUGACGCUGAGGCACGAAAGCGUGGGUAGCAAAC